rnacentral:rRNA from 1 species
CCUGGUUAUCAAAAACAUGGCCUUUUGAUUAUAAUUUAAGGUCUAGCCUGCCCACUGAGUACUUAAAUGGCCGCGGUACACUGACCGUGCAAAGGUAGCAUAAUCAUUAGUUUUUUAAUUGGAAGCUGGAAUGAAUGGCUGAACAAGAAAAUAACUGUCUCUACUUAAUUUUUAGAAUUUUAUUUUUAAGUAAAAAAGCUUAAACGUUAUUAAAAGACGAGAAGACCCUAUAGAGUUUUAUAUUUUUUGGUACUUAAAUUUUUAGUAUUAUCACUUUGUAUAUCAAAAUUUAUUUAGUUGGGGAGAUUGAAAAAUUUAAUUAACUUUUUUUUUAUUUUAACAUAAAUUAGUGAAUACUUGAUCCAAUUUUUUUGAUUAUAAGAUAAAAUUACCUUAGGGAUAACAGCGUAA